ensembl:lncRNA
GCUCCUUCCGUUAGGGACUUCCCCCGCUGGUGGGAGGGAGAGGAGGGGCGGCCCAGCAUGGCCCCGGGUCCGGCCUUACAGUUAUGUCUUUGGUUAGAAAGGAACAGAGACAUAUUUAGUCUCAAGUAAUGGGAGCUUAUUUGGCCAGAAAUGGAGGUGGACUCUAAUGAUAAGAAGUCAGGCCUCAUAAGAAGAGCAAAUGGACCCACGGAAAUAGUAGAAGAAAUCAGAGGAGAAGUGUAUCUUUUCAGCACCAAAUUCACGAACCCGCUAGCUUCUGAGAGACCUGAACUCAGCCCUGCACGGAGCCUUACCUCUGCCUCCCUCCUGCAGUAAGGAUAAGAAGUCCCUGCUUGAUGGAGGUUGAGACCUCCAGCUAUAGG